rnacentral:rRNA from 1 species
UACGUAGGGCGCAAGCGUUUGUCCGGAAUUAUUGGGCGUAAAGAGCUCGUAGGCGGUCUGUCGCGUCGGCUGUGAAAGCCCGGAGCUCAACUCCGGGUCUGCAGUCGAUACGGGCAGACUUGAGUGUUGCAGGGGAGACUGGAAUUCCUGGUGUAGCGGUGGAAUGCGCAGAUAUCAGGAGGAACACCGAUGGCGAAGGCAGAUCUCUGGGCCGUAACUGACGCUGAGGAGCGAAAGCAUGGGGAGCGAACAGG